rnacentral:rRNA from 1 species
UGGACCUCAGAUCAGGCAAGAUCACCCGCUGAAUUUAAGCAUAUCACUAAGCGGAGGAAAAGAAACUAACGAGGAUUCCU